CAGAUGUUUGAGCAACAAUGUUACCUUGUUUGCCACGGCGUUCAUGGCUUACCUGGGCCCGUUUCUUUAAAGCCGCUGCAUCGUCUUCGACAUCCAUAUUGUUGGAUGCACGUGGACUGUUAAGGGAGCCGGAACGAGGGCGAUCUCCAGUUGGUGUCCUUGCAGAUGGAUUUGGACUUCCAGGUUCAGGUGUAAUGAUAAUCGAUAUCGGACGACGUUGUGCUGUAGGGCUAGCCAGUUUAGGACUUUUGUUAUCU